rnacentral:rRNA from 1 species
GAAUGGAAUUAAGUACCCAAAAGACACCAGAGUCCAUCUGAUCUUGGAAGCCAAACAGGGUCAACCCUGGUUAGUAAUUUAUUGGGAGACUCAGAAUUAAUACCAGGUGCUGUAUUUA